rnacentral:rRNA from 1 species
AUUGAACGCUGGCGGCAGGCUUAACACAUGCAAGUCGAGGGACCGGCGCACGGGUGAGUAACACGUAUCCAACCUGCCCUUUACUCGGGGAUAGCCUUUCGAAAGAAAGAUUAAUACCCGAUAUAAAGGAUGGGGAUGCGUUCCAUUAGGUUGUUGGUGAGGUAACGGCCCACCAAGCCUUCGAUGGAUAGGGGUUCUGAGAGGAAGGUACCCCACAUUGGAAAGGCGGUCCGGUCCAAACUCCGACGCGAGGCAGCAGUGAGGAAUACUGGUCAAUGGGCGUUAGCCUGAACCAGCCAAGUAGCGUGAAGGAGGAAUGCUUAUGGGUCGUAAACUUCUGUGAUAUAAGAAUAGGUAUUAUAUGAAUAAGGAUCGGCUAACUCCGUGCCAGUAGCCGCGGUAAUUC